GGAACUGCAUUGUAUGAUAAUUUACACAACGUAUUUUCUGGAUAUGCUGAAUAGAGUUUACCGAUCUUUUUCCUCUUUUCUAACAACGAGCUCUAUUUAUUUCUGGAACGAGCCGGAGCUGGAAAGGCGUAUAGCAUCGCGGGUGAUCGGUCUGUCACCCGAAUAGUGUUAGUAGAUGGGUAUUGAUAUCUACCAGUUCAGUAACAAUGUUAAUGAAUCAGGGACCGAGCAUCGUCAAUUGUGACGAUGCCGAGAAAGGGUCUCCUUGCAAGAGCGGUUGAUGGGAUUUUCAGAGAAAUCACUUCAGCUAAUUCUAUCAAGUAUACAAUCAAAUUGUCCACGGUGCGGCUACAUGAGUUGCUACCCGGUGCUUCACUUAAUUAUUGAUGCAAUGCUCUAAUUUUAACGUUUUCCAGGUUUUUCGGGUAGAGAUCUACAUGGAGCAAGUAAGGGACAUUUUGGAUCUUUCAAAGGACAACAUACAGAUUAAAGAGACCAUAUCACAAGGAAUAUCGUUACCUGAAGUUACAGAGAUAUCUCUGUCAGACACUGCUGAAGCAUUACGAAGCUUUAUCUGUAAGAUACAAGCUCCUUUUCAUUUGACUGUGUUCCAAUAUUCCCUGUGAGUUGAUCUUCUAGUUCUAUCCUCUGAACCCCAGAGUGGUAUAUGCAACAGAGCAGUUGGAGAGACUCGCAUCCUUUCUCCUUUCCUUUUUGGCUUGUAUUUGUUCUUCAUCUUGCAUAGCCAGAUCAGAGCUUUCUUUUAUAAUAUCUGCCACCUUCCCUAAUUAUGCAUACAGUUUCAAACUUUAAGCUGAAACAGAAAUGAAUGUGGGCAGCUGCAGAAGCCAUUGUAUUUAUAUUUCUCGGUGCACCAAGAAUCAACCAAACAGACUAGGUAUGGUUGGUCUCUCAUGCGAUUGCGAUUUCUUGGUAAUGUUUUCCUUUCUUGUAUAAAAUUUCAUGUCUUGAGUGUGGCCAGAACAUAUGGAAAACUAAUUCUCUGGGAACUGGCUGGCUCUGAGAAAGUUGAGAAAACAGGAGCAGAGGGCAGGGUUCUUGAAGAAGCUAAAACUAUCAAUGAGUCCCUGUCAGCACUUGGAAAUGUAGCACAUGCCUCAACACGUGGUCCAAACGGAAAAGGAACUCACAUUCUGUAUCGCAACUCCAAACUUACUCGGAUUUUGCAAGAUUCUCUUGUGAGACUGCCCAACAUUAGCCCUUCCAUUAUCCUGCUAGCAUGUAUUCAAAACAUAAACAGUGAGUUCGUCUCACAGGGAGGGAACUCUUAAAUGGCAUUACUAUAUUGUUGUUCACCCAGCCCUUCAAAUGUGUCAGAAACGCUGUCAACCCUCAGGUUUGGUGCCAGGAUGGAAGUUAGAAGUCAAACUCAUAUAGGGCAGGGUAUGUUUUUAUUCUGAU